rnacentral:rRNA from 1 species
UGAACGCUGGCGGCGUGCCUCAUACAUGCAAGUCGCGCGAACAGACGCGGAGCUUGCUCCUUUGACGUUAGCGGCGGACGGGUGAGUAACACGUAGGUAACCUACCUAUAAGACUGGGAUAACUUCGGGAAACCGGAGCUAAUACCGGAUAAUAUUUCGAACCGCAUGGUUCGAUAGUGAAAGAUGGCUUUGCUAUCACUUAUAGAUGGACCUGCGCCGUAUUAGCUAGUUGGUAAGGUAACGGCUUACCAAGGCAACGAUACGUAGCCGACCUGAGAGGGUGAUCGGCCACACUGGAACUGAGACACGGUCCAGACUCCUACGGGAGGCAGCAGUAGGGAAUCUUCCGCAAUGGGCGAAAGCCUGACGGAGCAACGCCGCGUGAGUGAUGAAGGUCUUCGGAUCGUAAAACUCUGUUAUUAGGGAAGAACAAACGUGUAAGUAACUGUGCACGUCUUGACGGUACCUAAUCAGAAAGCCACGGCUAACUACGUG